CUGGGGGCUCAUGCACACACAGAUAGGAAACCAUUCUGAUUAGGGGAAAGCAAGCUGUGCUUGGUAAAUCCAGGAACUGAAUCCAUACCAAAUGAAAGCAGAAAAUGCAUGUAUCCCCCUUUGUAACACGAGCCUGAGUCCACUGUUUCUUUUCCAGCAACAUCCAGAAUUGGGCCACAGUUUCCUCCCUGCACUCCUGAUUUGAAACCACAACAAUAAUCAUAGGAGACUUUUACAAAGGGGAAGAAUAAUCUCUGCUGUCUCUGUUAGCCAAGUCUCCAGCAGGAAGAGGGAAGAACAUUUCCGGAGGCUCUGCAGCAGAUUCUUUGCUUCUGGAGUAUUUUCUUCUCCCCAGACAUCAUUCCAGACACCUCACCAGCCCUGGAGAGUGGCUUAAACUGUGAGACCCUGACAAACUGAUCCUCGUGACUGGCUCUCAAAGUGGCCAAACUGAAGGACAAGUUUGGAUCAACUCUCAGAAUUAACAUGUCAGCAAUCAGGAUUCCCAUAAGGAGUCAAAUCUCACUUUGUCAAACCCCAGAAGAGCAGGAUGGAUGGGAUUGGCUGGUCCCUGGUUUGGGCAGCCCUGACCAUUGCAGGGCUGUGAUUCAGAAUGGCUCAGUGCAGAAUUCCAUCCCAAUCCAAGGAGGUUCUCCCAGACCAGUGUGGAACAGCCCAGCUCGGUGUCACUCAGAGGCUCUCUCGAGGUUGCAUUCUUGGCAGCUGCACACUUUUGGCUGCUUUUUUUGUUUUUCCAACUGUAUAUGGACUUCUUUUGUUUCAAAUUAAUCUCUUGAUUGGCUGCAGAUGUACACCAGAAUGUCCUUUGUUUUAGUGUACAUUUUCAAGUGACGAAUGAUUAGAGCUGGUUGGAAACUUUUCUGUUGCAAUGACUUGACAGACACUUGUGGUUCCAGCAAAAUUGAUAUUUUCUGUGGAAAUGCAUCACUUUUGCCAAGGAGAAAAAACACCAAAAAACCUUUUUUUUUUUUUUUUGUCAAGUCAUCCUGAAAUCCAUGGUUUAUUUUAGGUCAGCUGGUUAAACAGCUCAAAGCUGUUGAUUGUUUCAGGGCACUACUUAAGAGUUUUUUUUAUGACUGCUUAUAUUUGCUGCUCCAGGCUCCAUUAAUCAGCCUUCAUCCAUCAGAAUCUCUGGUUGGAGGUGGCAGGACAGCAGUCUGGGAGCUCUGGGAGCUGUGAUGCCUUCAGAGAGAGAAAAUAUCCCAGAGAAAAUCAUGGAUGAGAGCACAACUCCUGUGGGGGAAGUGCAAGAGCACCAAGAUUGCAGAGACAGCCUGGGAGGGGUUGGGGGAUUUGCGUGCAGAAUGGAGUUGUGAAAAACAUGGUUUGCUUUGGAAAGCAUUGCUAUCCAGCCCAUAAUUGAUAACUGUUAAUAAUUUGAUGUUGUGUAGAAGGAAAAUCUUAUUAAUGAGCUUCCUGUUAUCAUCUGUAGUUUUUAGCACUUUAUUUCUUUUUAAGGAGGUGCUUUUGUGCUCAGCUUUAAGGCUUAAAAAAUCAAAACCACAAUAAUCAUAAAUGCUUUUGCCUCCUUUAAUUUGUAUUUUGAGGGUAUAUUUAUA
ensembl:lncRNA